ACGACGAGAACAGGGGCUGGCCAGGCAGCCGGGAAGCCGACGCAGGCAAGCAGGAUCCGAAGAAGCCUUCGAGGAUUGCAAGGAACUGGUCCUGCCGCCUUCCCAGUUCGGCUCCCUUCCCGCCUACGUGCUCCCUCCUCCCUCGACCGAAUUCCUCGAGGAGAAAUCCUGGCCCAGCAAGGUGCUGGAUGGAGCCCCACCUGAUCAGAGGGUGGUCUCGGGACCGGAGGUCAGGUCCGCAGUGCUCGAGGACUGACGAUGCUAGUGGUCACGUGACGUGCAGACGCUUCAGGGAGUCCUGAGUACGAAUCCAGAUGCACCCGCUACAGAUCAGCCCCUGAGCAGGUUUUAGUUUAAAAGUCAAGAAACACCAUUAAUACUGUCAGCCCUUGACUCUAUGUCCCUUAGUGGAGCCUUUUAAAGGCCUGCAAGAGCUCAGCUCCUCUCCGACCUGCUCCCCAUUCUCAAGACUCCAGACCCUUUUCCACCAAGCACACUCCAGCAGCAGCCAGAGCCUCCUUCCUCUCUAUGCACUCUGCCUCCCUAAGGACACACCAUAACCCCAGGAAAAGUCAGACUCAUCCCUCCUUGGUAGUAAUAUGGUACUUUGGGACAAAGGACUGCUCCAUACUACAGGCUCUGAGCCAAAACUGUGGCAGACAGAGGCUUGAACGUUUUGCCCAAGAUCUCAGGGUAUUAAACAGAUGAAGAAC